CUUCGCGCGGGCCGUGAGGAGACCCGGGAGCUGACGCGGGGACGGGCGUGUUUCUCUGAGGGAGGCCGUGGGAGGCGACGCUUAAGGGGGCUUCCCGGAGGGAAGUGGGAGAACACGAGCCCGCGGUUUAGGGGCGCUGCUGGCGGUUGAGUGAGCCGAGAGCCCUGCGGGCGCCGUGUGCGUGCGGGGCGGCGCGCGGCCUUGGGGGUGCCACGGCCGGUCCUGGAGUGGGUCGGAGGGUGACAUCACCGGGUUCGCGUCCCCGCCACACACUCACGCGCAGACACCCGCGGCCGCAGCGGAGGCUGGCGUGUGCGCCCCGGGUGGCGUUCGUGAGCUCAGAUGGAAAGAGAGAAACCAGCUAAACAGUGUAAGAGUCCUGCGUUUGAAUUGGAAGAAUCAUCAUGCAUCCACAGGUAUGUUAUGCAGAUAUGUCCCAGCCCAGUCCACUGAAGAGGCCCAGAGGCAAGCCCAGCUCACCUGGGAGGAGUCUCUUCAGCCCUCACGGUGCAGACUGCAAAGAAACGAGUGUAACAUGGCAGUGUGUAAGUUUCCUGUUGUGGCUGAGACAAGUCAGUACUAACGUGGUGCCUUGAGGAUGAGUUACUGUCUCAUCGAUCUCAAGGUCAGAGGUCCAAAGAGGUUAUCCCUGGCCUCAUAUCCGGGCAUCGGUAGGGCUGUGUGCCGUCUGGGGACUCUGGGGGAGAAUGCAUCUGCUUGCACUCCCCAGGUUCCUGAGGCUUUCUGCCUUCCCUGUUCCAUCUUCAAAGGCAGCAUCACAGGCCCCGGAUCCUGCUUCCAUCAUCCCAUCCCCUCCCGCCUCCCUCUUUGAUUUCUGAGGACUCUUGUGAUUACACGGAGCUCACCAAGAUAAUCCAGGAUAAUCUCCCUGUCUGAAAAUCUUUAAUUUUAACUUGAUGUAAAGUCCCCUUUGCUGUGUGAGAUAAUGUAGUCAGUUUCUGGGGAUUACUGUGUGGGCAUCUUUGAGGAGCCAUUAUUCUGCCUAUCAGAAGCUCUAAGUCAAAUAGAAGGCUUUUGGAUCUUUAAAAAAGAGGUAGAAUCUAACCCCUGUUGCUGACACAAGGACCUGAUACCGACAAAUGCCACAUGUGGCUUUUAGAAUAAUUUUAUCAGCAUUUCCUGGAAGGCUCACGUAAUGAUAAAUGGACUAAAACGCAUGUAAGAGCUGCUGAGUGCCUGACUCAAAAAUGUCAGGCGUUUUUCUAGGUAACGUCUCUGUUAAUUUUCCUAGGGAGAUAUCGUUGUCCCCUUUCCCUAGGUGAGGAAAGUUGAGACUCAAGUGCUCAGAUCGCUCAGCUAGGAAGUGACAGAGCUAAGAUUUAUAUACAAAUAUGUCCAACUCCAAUGCCACGCAUUUACACUGCCUUUCAUGAUGUGAACGGGAGACCCACUGGCAGGCCGCAGCUACCUACAGCAAGGCCACACCUCCGGGUGAACCUGUUUAGGUAAAGGAAGGAGGAGGACAGAAGGAGAAUUGGAAGAAGAGGGGGGAGGGAUCCUAAAUUAGAGAUUUAUACCAAGCUGAACUGGAACGAGCUGUAAGGAUGUAGAUGGGAGAUCAGUGAAAAGGGGGAAGCCAAAGGAGAACUGGAGAACCUUUAUAAGCUCAGCUUUAAGGAGCAAACACUCAAGGGAGCACCGUCAGUGAGAAUUACUGUGGUCGGUAGUCAGAUAUUUUAUCCAAAAGUGAAGUUCCAAACCAUGACAGGUGCUUCAAGCCAAAGAACUAAUAUUUACUUGUGCACAAUUGGCUUAGUUAUAUAAUGGAUCUUUUCAGCCAUAUAUAUAUAUAUACAGUUAUUAAUAAUUAUUUUUAGCAAAUGGCUUCCAACUUUCAACUAUUCACAUCCCUGGGAACUCUUUUUAACCACUUUACCCUUGAGGACGCAAAGGGAAGUGGCUUGUUUGAAAUCAAGUAGUAUCUGCUCUGACAUGCCCUGAUUAGGCUCAGCUUUGAAAAAAGGAUGUAAAUCUAAUGAAUGGGUUUGCCAUUAAUUAGUAAGAGGAGCGUUUGAGAAUAUAACUAUAAACUGUCUUGUCACAUAAUACUCACUGAAAAUGUUUGGGGAAAAAAAGCAUUUUCUGUAGCAUUAUUUCUACAGAACUCUCAAAUUUAUGCUUGGAUUUAGUCAGAUAGCUCUGGUCUCAUGGUUUUGUGCCUCCCCCCCACUCCCACCCCUCCAGCAAAUACACUUGGUAUAGAUUUGUUUUACCAAGCUGUGCAUGUCUAUUGUGACAACUACUUACUUUUAGGAGCAUUAUAAACAAAUCUCUGUGAAACUUAUUAAACACUAUAGGAAUAUAUUUUUAAAGAUUUAUUUUAUUUGAAAGGCAGAGUUACAGAAAGGCAGGGGUAGAGAGAGAGAGGGAGAGAAAGAGUGAGAAAGGUCUUCCAUCCACUGGUUCACUCCCCAGUUGGCUGCAAACUGCACUGAUCCAAAGCCAGUAGCUUCUUCUAGGUCUGCCACGUGGGAGCAGGUGCCGAAGCACUUGGGCCCAUCUUACACUGCUUUCCCAGGCCAUAGCAGAGAGCUGGAUCGGAAGUGGAGCAGACAGGACUCGAACUGGCACCGUAUGUGAUGUCGGCACUGCAGGCAACAGCCUCACCCACUAUGCCACAGAACCAGCCCCGUAGGAAUGUUUUUAAGGAUGAUGUUUACUACAUCACACCCUAUCUUCUCCAUGAAAAUCCAGGGAACCAAUUUUUGUGAAGUUGCCAUUACAGGAAGAACUAAAUUUCUUUAAAGCAGCUCAUUUGUUUCUACCUUACAUGUGUCAUAAAUCACGCAACUAUUAGGUGGAUUUAUGUGACCGAUUGGAGCCAACUUCUCUUACAGAGGUAGGGAAGCUUCAUUCUGCCAAGGGCCAUUUGGAUAUUUAUAACAUCCAUGGACCUUACAAAAUUAUCAACUUAAAAAUUAGCAGUAGAUGUGUGGAAUUUUUUUUUUUUUUUUUUUUUUUUUUUGGACAGGCAGAGUUAGACAGUGAGAAAGAGAGAUAGAGAGAAAAGUCGUCCUUCCAUUGGUUCACCUCCCAAAUGGCCGCUAAGGCCAGCAUGCUGCACCAAUCCAAAGCCAGGAGCCAGGUGCUGGUGCUUCCUCCUGGUCUCCCAUGUGGGUGCAUGGCCCAAGCACUUGGGCCAUCCUCCACUGCCUUCCCGGGCCACAGCAGAGAGCUGGACAGGAAGAGGAGCAACCGGAACAGAAUCCGGCGUCCCAACCGGGACUAGAACCCGGGGUGCCGGCGCCGUAGGUAGAGGAUUAGACUAGUGAGCCGGGGCUCUGGCCUGAUGUGUGGAAUUUCAAAUCCAGCCUGUGGUUGCCUUGGCAACACCAGCCCAAAUGACCAGGUGUUCCCCACCUGGCCAGAUGUUCCCCACCCCUGCUAGGUGGUCUGUGUACCUGAUGACACAUAUGUCAGUUAACUAGCCCUGAUAUAAUCUCAUCUGAUCUUUUAUUUCCCCCUUUUAUUUGAAUCUUGUCAUGAAAUGUAUGUUUUUAUAAACUACCUUGAUUCCUUUGGUUCUAUUGAAGCACAUGUAGAAAAGAUGUGGAAAAAAUUAAAUUUCUGAUUGCUUAUUUAGCACAUCCAGUGAAAAUGGCUGAUCCCCCCCCCCCAUUUGAAGAGUGUACUUGGAUUACUCUGCUACACAUGUGGCACUCCUAAAUUUCACACAAGGGUGGUCCUGAGGGACCCCUCAAGGAGAAAUGCACGUAUCUGCUACAGCAGGCAAAGUUGAGACACGAGGAGGUGAAGGAGAGACCUAACUGGGAAUAAUGUGCUAUUAGAUGAAGCUGUUAGGAUCAGAGAAAACUGAGAAAGAAGCGAUGAGAGGCAAUCGUUUGCUUAUGAAGCUGUUUUCACUUAGUCAUUGCAUCUUGCUUCCAAAUGUGUAGUGGCAGAGGCCUUGUUUAUUUAGCAAUAGUUAAUGAUUCUCCCAAGCAAUAUCAAGCAGUCACUAGUAACUGAAAAAGAAUUAUAAGUAUAAAAUACUCAUCAACUCAUUACAUGGGGAAGAAAUAGAAUACUCACGAUAGCACUGAUCAUUUAUUGAGUGUGUACUAUAUACCAGGCACUGUGUGAAAUAUUUUGCCUGCCUUAUCUUGUUUAACUUUCAGAAUCUCAGAAAGUAGGUGACUGUUCAGUCCAUUUUGCACAUGAGAAUGUAAAGGAAACUCAGAGGAGGCCUUUAGCUGGAGCACAGCACAAUGUGAUAUGCAUCUAGAGGUCUUCCUGGCUUGCGGUGAAGAGAUCAGAUGAUAAGAGCAGACAGUUAGGAGACUGCUGCAAUAGAAAGCACACAGUAUGGCCCCUAGACCAGAGAGGGUACCAGUAGCCUCCCAGUAGACUAAAUGAAGGCUAUCAAAUGUCCAGUGAAGUCCCCUGUCAUUCCAGUCCAUGCUCCAGGUAAAGCCAGGGCCUUUUCCUGAUGAAGCAAUGCUACCCAUCUAGGCAGCCUUCUCAGGAAGGGCUGUGGUUUUGUUGUGGGAAGGAAGAGAGAAUAUUUCCAGCCUCCUCAUUCUGCUCCCUUUUCACGAAGGCCACGUCAUUUCCCCUAUGAGCAUGUCGUUGGACCCACUGUGUUGGGGCCUGGAGGAACGGAUGCUGGGGAGAUGAGAACGUGGCAGUGGGUUAAGAUCCCAACACUUCUUAGUUACCUCUCGACUCUUCCCUUCUGUAAGCCUGCCCCUACUGCAUAUAGAGCUUUGCCAUAUAAAUAAGAGCCCUGGGGAGUCCAGCAGCCUGGACAGUCUUACACAGAAAGGUAAGAAUCAGCUGAAAUCUCUGCCCGGUCUCAAGCCUAAGGGAUGAGACUGAAGUGGAUUUAUUGAGUUACCAAAUCCCUGCCUUCCCCUCCCCCAGAGCAAAAUGCAGUUCAAGAUGACUGAGCAUGAUGUCGACAUACUGACCUCACCUAAUUCCUGCCCUCGUCUUCCUCAAACAAGUAUUCCUCCUCUAUGAUCUCCUCAUUGUGGUCUCGGUAAUAUGGGUUUCCCAUAUAUCCCUCGACUGUCUGCAGCUAGAUUAUAGGUUUCGUAGAUUCUCUAAUGUGGCAUGAAGCUGCCACCAGACUCUCGGACUAGGCUGAACCAAGAUCCGAGGAGGGAUGGGGCAGUCAUCAAGGGCAUUACUGAGUUGAAGCAGCAUGAGGCCACCACCAGAAGCCAUGCAGCUGCCAGCUCCAUGCUCUUGAACCUCUCAGCUUCCAGAACGAAACGUCCUUGGCUGGAAACGCAACCUAAGCUAGGAAGUAUUAGCAAACAAAAAAUUUCCAACCUAAGGAAAGAGUAAGAGAGCAGCAGAGAGGGUGGAAGUCUGGAUAUCUGUACACGUACGUACUUCAGAGAUGGAAGAUAACGACGUGCUGCUAGCUGAUUCUGCGGAUCAGAAGGUGGUGCCCCCACGAUCCAGGCUUAGAGGAGGCCCCACAGCCUGUUCCAUCUCUAAAGGCGAGAUCUACGUCCUAGCUGAUCAGCAGUGCCGCUAGUUAGAUGAGGGAGAGCUGGGUGACAGCUUCAGGAUCUGCGUGGGUUCGCAUCACCCGGACUGCAGAAUCUGUUCAACGUGCUUGCCCUGUGAACUGGGUCGAUAGCUUAUCUGAGUACGUGAGGAAAAGCUGAAUCUCAUUCCAAGUGAAAAAGGAAUUGAUCAAAUUGGAAAAUUUUAAGACUAUUGUGCAUUAAAAAUCAGGCCAUUUCAAAAGCCCUGGAGAAAUUUGUUCCAGAAUGGAGUGCUAUAAUUUCUUUCAAAAUGGAACAUCUUGGGGCCCAUUUUCAGUAAUUCACAGGUGAAGAUCAAAUUCCACAUUUUCUAACCGGAAAGAUGCCUUCCAAAUAAAGAAACAUCAAAUCACAGCUUUAUUUGAUAAGUAUAUUUUUUUUAGUAAUGAGAACAGAUUUAAUAUAGUUCACAGGUACAGUUCUAAUAUAAUGAUGCUGGGGCUGGCGCCGUGGCUCACUAGGUUAAUCCUCCACCUGCGGCACCAGUAUCUCAUGGGCACCUGGUUCUAGUCCCAGUUGCUCCUCUUCCAGUCCAGCUCUCUGCUGUGGCCCGGGAGGGCAGUGGAUGUUGGCCCAAGUGCUUGGACGCCUGCACCCGCGUGGGAGACCAGGAAGAAGCUCCUGGCUCCUGGCUUUGGAUCGGCACAGCUCUAACCAUAGCGGCCAUUUGGGGGGUGAACCAACGGAAGGAAGACCUUUCUGUCUCUCUCCCUCACUGUCUAACUCUAUCUGUCUAAAUAAUAAUAAUAAUAAUAAAAGAAAACAAAUUCUUUAAAAAAAAGAAUAUAAUGGUGCUUCCCUUAUAAUUUCAGUAGCUUUGAGCAAUUCAAUGAAAACUAACUUUCAAAGGACAAAUCUAAGCUUCCCUGAUUUUACAGAACUGUUCUUCAUUGCAGUUAGUCAAAUCCAAUAGUUUCGCACGUGCACGCACACACACACACACACACCCCCAAACCUAUAAGAUGAGCUGUGUCUGCUUCUAAAUCACAAAAGUGGCUUUAACAGGAAGAAUCUUCAAAAAGUCUAUAAAAAUGUUUCCUAUGAAAACAUUACAUGUGGAUUUCAAACUUUCUACACCAAAAUAAACAUAUUUUUAAAAAUAAAUUUAUUUAUUUAUCUAAAAGUCAGAGUUACACAGAGAGAAGAAAAGACAGGCAGAGAAAGAUCUUCGAUCUGCUGGUUCACUCCCCAGGUGGCUGCAAUGGCCAGGGCUGUGUCAGGCUGAAGCCAGGAGCCAGGAGCUUCGUCAGGGUCUUUCAGGUGGAUGACAUGGACCCAAGUACUUGGACUGUCUUUCGCUACUUUGCCAGGGCAAUAGCAGAGAGCUGGAUCAGAAGUGGAGCAGCCAGGACUCGGACAGCACAAAUAUGGGAUACCAGCAUGGUAGGCAGAAGCUACAAUGCCGGUCCCUAAAUUUAUCUUUUAACUCUGCUUUCCCACAGACUUUUUGAAGUAUCUUCCUACAUCUCAUUUAAAUAUUUAUUUUUCUUAAUAUGUUUAAAAUUUUUUUUUCUGGAGACUACUGUCUGCCAAGCCUAAAAGUCAAAGGAAAACCAUAGUUCCUUGGUAUCAAGCAUACUGAGAUAGAGCAUUUGAAUAAUUCUCAAAAAUAGUAGAUGAUUUAAUUUUCUGGAGCAAAACAUUUUGAACAUGAAUUUUGAAAAUGUGUGCCUUGCAAAGGUGUGAAAUUCAGCUUGGCAUGUAUAUAGUCCACAUCAAAAAGGAGAAGCGCAACAGCACGGCACCAGGAACCUAAAUCUGCAACAUCCCACGUAGGUGAUUCCAUGCAUCCCAGCACACUUGGUCAAACCCGUCUUCGUAGACUUCAAGACUGAAGACAGAAUAAUUUUCUGAAAUAUUCUUGCAAUAAUUUUCUUCUGUCAAAGUAUGGAAUAAACCCAGUAGCUCUUUUCUCUUUGGCCCACCUCUCUUGCUAUCAACAAAAACAAAAGCAAUACCUUAAAUUUUGUACGAACACAUUUUAAUUCACAACAGUAACUUUUUUCAUGCUGGUAUUUUACAACUCUUAGAAUAAUGGGGCUGGGAGUUACUGAUAGUAACUAUAUAGUUCCUAUUGUUCACCCAAUAUAACUCUUCACUUAUUGAUGUGAAACAAUCCUGUCCUAGAAUUAGUGGAUUGGUCCUCUUUCCCUUCUCCUCCAACAUAGCAGAAUGGUUUUACCACAUUUGCCAUUCAGUUGAAAUUGUUCUUUAUUCUCUUUUCACAGUUGCUCAUUUAAUCUAGGUAGUGAAAGAAAGGCUUAUGCAAAUCACAGAAGUAAAUUGACUUGACUAAAACAUGACUUAAAUGUUUUGAGUAGCUUGUGCUCAUUCAUGUAGACAUCAAAUGCUUAGUGUAAAUUAUUUUAAAAUAUUUAUUCAUUUAUUUGAAAGGAAGAGUUAGAGAGAAGAGGGAGAGACAGACAGAGAGAAAAAGGGAGAGAGAGAGAUGAGAGAGAUGACAGGUCGUCGAUCUGCUGGUUCACUCCCCAAAUGGCUGCAAUAGCCAGAACUGAGCCUGUACAAAGCCAGGAGUCAGGAACCAGGAGCCAGGAGCUCUUUCCAGGUCUCCUAUGUGGAUGCAGGGUCCCCAGCUCUGCUGCUUUCCCAGUCAUAUUAGCAGGGAGUUGGAUCAAAAGAAGAGCAGCCAGGAUUCAAACCAGUGGCCAUAUGGGAGGCAAGCAUCUCAGGUGGCAACUUUACCUGCUGUGCCACAACACCAGCCCCAUAAUUUUUGCAGUAUGCUGGAAUCCAUUGGAACACCUGCUAAUAUAGAAACGUAGCUGAGAGCUAUCAUACUGUUUUCCUGGUAAAUCUGCUGUUGGUGUCAGAUACCACUGCAUGCCACCAGGUCAGAUUUUCCAGACAGUCCCGAGUAUGCCAUCCUAUGAAGUUAAUACUUACCCCAUGGAACUCCAGGUGGCCCAACACUCUUUGUCAGCCAUUAUUUGCUACUAAGAACUCUGAAUGGUAAGACAUGGAUAAGAGGAGUGAGUGCAGAAAACUCCAAAGUACAGACCCAGAUAGAAAUGCCAGGAAUCUGGGAUUGGUUUAUUUGGUACAUUUAGGCUGAAAGACAAUAGCAUCAAAGUAGUAUUACAGCAUGCUACUAUGAAAUUCUAGCCUUUCACAUUGAAUCAGAGUAUUGCUUCUGGCCACCUAGAAUACAUAUCCAUUGAGGAAAAGACUCUGGGCAAGCUCCUGGUUGAGGUCCUAAGACCGCAUUCAGAGGAUGCAGAGAGUGAUCGUGUGUCCAGUUGCUCCUGGAUAUUUUGUUCUUCUUAUCCCAGUAUGAUUUCCCUUGGCAUCCCUUUAAUUCUCCAGAAUCUCCUGGUGAUAUGGUUUGAAUAUGAUUUGACGCUUGAACUUACAGAGCAGUUUAUAUCCCAAAGCCCUAGGUUAACAGUGAAAGCUUAAUUCAGUGGCAAUCUUUGGAGGUAAGUCCUGUAUGAGGAAAUUGGAUUGAACUCCCAUGGUUAAAUCCCAGUGGCUUUGUAAGAAACCACACGGACACAUGAUGUCUAUGCUCCCUUUUGCUGUUUGACACUCGACCAACUCCAGACUCUGCCAGCAAGAAUGCCAGCACCCAGAGCCUGAGUCAGGGGGGCCUGCCAGGUCUUGGGCUGUGAACCUCCCACACUGGAGCCAGAGGAAACCUCUUCCCCUUUUAAAUAGCCAGUGUCAGGUGUUCCAUUAUGGCAGGAAAAGCUGACUAAUACACCUGUUGGAAACCAUAAAUCCUAAACAGAGGAGCUCAAGGAUAGUUGGAGGAGUAGCCACUUCAGUUGGUAACAGAAGUUAAUGAAUGGCGACAGACUCCUAUGGCAGCACUUUUAAAAUGCAAAUUAACACACACACACACACACACACACACAGGUUUUUAUAGCUUGAACUUGCCAGUCUAAAAUUGCCAAAAAUGAAACUCAAAAUUGGAUAUAGUCGGCCAGUGCUGCAGCUCACUAGGCUAAUCCUCCGCCUGUGGCGCCGGCACCCCGGGUUCUAGUCCUGGUCGGGGCGCCGGAUUCUGUCCCGGUUGCCCUCUUCCAGGCCAGCUCUCUGCUGUGGCCCGGGAAGGCAGUGGAGGAUGGCCCAAGUGCUUGGGCCCUACACCUGCAUGGGAGACCAGGAGGAAGCACCUGGCUCCUGGCUUCAGAUUGGCGCAGCGCGCUGGCCGUGGCUGCCAUUUGGGGGGUGAACCAACGGAAGGAAGACCUUUCUCUCUGUCUCUGUCUCUCUCUCACUGUCUAACUCUGCCUGUCAAAAAAAAAAAAAAUUGGAUACAGUAGGCUGAUGAGUAAGUCAACUGGAUCCCAUGCUUCUCCAGGUCUCUUGUGUGAAAAUUAGAGCAGUUAUUGAAAAAGAGUGGAGCUGGGGCGGGCUUGUGGUGCAGGGGAUUAAGUGGGUGUCUGUGACACUACUUCCCGUGUGAGUGCUGGUUCAAGUUCCCUCUCACCCAUGUGGAAGACCCAGAUGGAGUUCUAGAAUUCGGGCUUUGGCCUGACCCAGCCCCAGCUGUAGCUAUUUGGGGAGCACUGUAGCCAUUUGGGGAACCACCAGAUGGAAGACCUCUCUCUCUCUCUCUCACAUGCUGCCUUUCAAAUAAAGAAAUAAAUCUUUUUUUCUUUUUUUAAAGAUUGGAUCUACAAGAAUUGGAGUAGGGGUAUUUGAAGGAGUGGAAGGAAUCAAAGCGUAGCUCCUCCCUCCCCACAACCACCCUUUUUAUAUAAGGCUGUUCCUUCCUUGAAGACCUUGUAAUGCUUUUACCUGAGGAAGCUAUCAAAGAAGGGGGAUCUGAGCCCAUGGCCCGAUCCUACCAGUGCUGAUUGUCUACAGGCCUAUAGUUAGAGUCCCUGGAGUACAGCCCAUGGAAGCCCUGCUCAUUCACUGCAGCAGCAACAGUGCCACCCUAACAGAUUCCUGGCUCUUCUGCUCAUUCUCAGACCUCCGUCCGUUUGUAGACGUCUACUGAGCCAAGGCUGGAUACACCUGAGGAAGCACCUUGCAGCAACCAUGUGGUAACAAGCAUGGACUGAAGCUUCUUUCUAAACUCCCACGAAGGGAGCUACAGCUGUUUACCAGAGAAACCAUACACUGGGAAGGGGAAAUACCCAGACUUUUCAGGGAUGAUUGGACGCUGGCUCUGAGCUACCCCUAAUUCUAGGGGAUGGGGUAGAUUGUUAAUGUGAACCACCAGUUAGAACAAAGAUUCAAAGAGAUCAAUCAGUGGAUAGAGUUGUGACCCACAGAGGGCUGGAUUCCUGACUCAACUCAUUGUUAUUUUCCUGAUUCCCAAAUGUAGUGUUGGUAUAGGAAACCUCAGAGGACCAGAGCCCCACAAUGAGUUCCUAACCCCUGUAGUACCAGUUUGCGUCUGCUUUCCCAGCUUAAUUAUUUACUAUCAAAAAUACUAUGCUUUUGAUGAUAAUUACACGACCACCCUAGAUACUAAGGUAGAAUGGACGAAGGAAAAUUCCAGAACUUAUCCUCCCUGUCAAAAGCCAAACCAUAUCAGAGAGAGAAGGUUGGAAGAAGCAGGGAUGACAUACAACGUUAAUGUCACUUCAGCAGACAUAAAAGAUACACAGGUGCCUUAUUUUUCCUAUGCAGAAUCCACUCAAUCAAAAUGUUGCAUAAAUACCCUUGUCCAGUUGAUUAUUAUAAUCUUACUCUAUUUUUCAAAUUAGAGUGGAAAGUUCAGUAGAUUUUCUUUACUGCAGCCAAUAAAAACCAUGGUUGGUUUGAAUCUGUUGAUCUGACAAGUGCUAUUCAAAAAAAUAAAAAGAGGUUAUUAAGAGACGUUUAUUACAACCCAGCAUGAACAGCAGUGUGCUCGUCUUGCCUCAGGAUUCUAACAACUCUUGAGUUCUGUGCUGCAGUUUGUUCCAUAGGGUACUUGGUUGUUUCACCAUUUCGUCAGGCAUCGUGCUGGCCAACUACAUUAUUGUAUCAUGAUGACAAUAUCUAGAAUAGAAAAUAGCAGUGAGUUCAGGUGGGCCUCUCACCUGUCUGAGAUGUUCUUUCCAAUGCAAAGAACAAAUUAGUGCAGCUUGUUACAUAGCAUUAAGGAAAGAGGUGUAACACUGGAUAGGACUCACUGGUUUUUAGAAACAUUGUAUACUAUGUGUGUGCUUCUUUGAUUCAUUUACAGAGUUAUCCAAAAGACUGUAAGUUUUGAGUCCUGGAACUAGAAAAGGCAGGGUAGAUCCAAACAGCUCUGUUACUUGACUUUAAUGAAUCCAACAGAAUUCAAAGUUCCUGUAGCUCAUUGGAAUGCCUUCUAAGCCCUGUGGAAAUUCCAACAAAGGAAUCACAGCAGAGGCCCCAGGGCAUUUGAGCAGAAGCACAUCUAUUUUGCCAAGUAAUAAUUCCUCUUUUGAGAAACCACUUUUGCUUGUUAUUGGGUCCUGGUAGAGAAGGAAUGAGAGAGAUUUGCAAUAAUUUGGAGACAAUCUUGUGCUUUUUGAUAAGCUUAUGAAACAGUGCUCACCAACAAAUAAAACCUCUUCUCGGGCUCAGGGGUAUGGGUUUCUCCUUACCAAAGCUGGGCAGCCUAGUGACACUGCUGAAAGUCCAGUUUCACACCUACAGUAAGCAGACAUGCGUUUCCGAUGUGAAUCCAACUACAGGAGCUACUGAAAGGCGGAUUACAGGCUGAUCAGGCUGACUGCAUUUCUUGCUGGAAGGGCAAGGUUUGCCAUCACUGUAACAGUGCUUUUGGAUUCCUUCUCCUGACUGCCUUAUAUUCAAAGGCACCAUUUCUUAAGUAGUAAAUUCUCUUGCAAAAUACUACUUUUGAUCAGUUUACUUUAAAAAAAAAAAGGUUUAUUUGUUUAUUUGGAAGGCAGAUAUUCCAUCUGCUAGUGUACUCCUCAAUGCCACGAUGGCUGGGGCUGAGCCAGGCCAAAGGGACUGGAACUCCAUCUGGGUCUCCCACUUGAGUGGCAGGGCGCCAAGCGCUUGGGCCAUCAUCCACUGUUUUCCCAGGCACACUAGCAGGAAUGCUGGGUCAGAAAUGGAGCAGCCGGGCAUCGAAGCAGCAUUUAGCAACACAUGUAGUGGCUUAACCUGCUGCACCACAAUGGCGGUCCCUGAUUUUACUUUGCAGUGAAAUACGACAGUGUAGCCAAGGACUGCUUAAAAAUAGGGAUACUCUCCAAGAAUUUUGUCUUUAGGUGAUUUCAUCAUUCUGCUAACAUGUGCCUACACAAAAUAAGAUGUUGUGACAUCAGUAUAAAGUAAACUCUUAUGAGAUAACCCCUGCAUGUAUUAGCUGUCAUUGCCCAAAACGUUGUCAGUUAUAGACUGUUCAUAUACCUCGAUGCCAAUAGAAUCACAGAUGUCCUAUGUCCCAUUACUUGAAAGCGGUUUGCCUGCAUAGAAAGGCAGGGGCCCACUAAAUACUCAAGUAGGUUUAUUAGAAGAUACUAUCCUGCCAAUCUGGGGUGCUACCCUGGAGGUACAGCAUGUGCUAUGAACUUAACAAAUAUCUGGGUCUGCUGAUCCUACAAUGUCUUAGUCAGUUUGGGCUGAUAUAACAGAAUGCUUCAAUUAGGUAAUUUUCUAAGAAACAGAAAUUUAUUUCUCAAGUUGUGGAAGCUGUGAAGGCCAAGAUCAAGGUGCUGGCAGGCUCAGUGUCUGGCCAGGGCUUUCAUUGCUUCACAGAUGCUGCCUUCUUGCUACAUCCCCCAGGGGGCGGGAACGGGGCAAGGCAGCUCCCUUCAAACUCUUUUGUGAGGGCACUAAUCCAGUCCCACACAGAGGGGUUCUGCCUUCGUGGUCAAAUCACCUCCCAAAGGUCUCAUCUCAUUAUCAUCCCCUUGAGGGUUAUAUUCCAGCAUGUGAAUAUUGGAGAGACACAACAUUGAGACUGUGCAAUCUUUUAUGAGCCGAGAAGAAAUGGGUGGAACUUCUUUAGGUCCUGUUGAUCUGGAAUUCUCACAUUCAAAAAUUUCUACCACAUAAUAAAUUACAGCUCCACUGAAGUAGAAGCAAGCAACAGCCUCUAACCAGCAAUUUGAUUCUUCACACUAUUGGGAAAAAGGUUAAGAAGGGGAUUAUAAUCAUGUCUGUGACAUAUAAAGUGUGUUAUCUACAUUAUGGAAUCAUAUAUUCACAUAUGCACAAUAUCGGAAAUGUUAAAAACUUAUUUUCAUUUUAUUUGAAAGGCAGAGUAGGCCAGCGCCACGGCUCACUAGGCUAAUCAUCUGCCUGCAGCGCCGGCACUCCAGGUUCUAGUCCCGGUUGGGGCACCGGAUUCUGUUCCGGUUGCUCCUCUUCCAGUCCAGCUCUCUGCUGUGGCCUGGGAAGGCAGUGGAGGAUGGCCCAAGGGCUUGGGCCCUGCACCCGCAUGGGAGACCAGGAGAAGCACCUGGCUCCUGGCUUCAGAUUGGUGCGGCGCCGGCCAUAGUGGCCAUUUGGGGGGUGAACCAACGGAAGGAAGACCUUUCUCUCUGUCUCUCUCUCUCACUGUCUAACUCUGCCUGUCAAAAAAAAAAAAAAAAAGAAAGAAAAAAAAGAAAAAAAAAGAAAGGCAGAGUGACAGAGAGUCAGAAUGAGAGGUAGAGAGAUCUUCUAUCCAUUGAUUUACUCCCCAGUUGUUCACAAUUGCCAGGGCUGGGCUAGACUGAAACCAGGAGCCCAGGAUUGUUCUGGGUUUCCCACGUGGGUGGCAAGGACCCAAGUCUUUGUGUUGUUGCCUGCUGCCUCCCAGAGUUUCUUUCAGCAGGAAGCUGGAAUGGGAAAAGGAACUGGGAGUCAAACUCGGGCAUUUGAAAAUGGGAUGCAGGUGCCCAAGCAGCAUCAUAGCCACUGCACUGAAUGCUUGCUCCCGUGAUUGUAACGAUGUUUUUAGUGUAAGGCCAUAAGGUAUCUUGUAAGAAAUCCAAUCAAUAUAUAGUAACAAUCAGUAUAUAACAAUUUUUAACAGAUACCAGUAAAGUUUCUUAAAAGAAGGGACAUCUCUUGCUAAUUUACAUAAAAGCAGCAUGUAGACCCCUGGAAUCCCAGUUACCCAGCUUCUGCUGGGGGUUGAAUGUGACUUUGCUGCCACAGCCGGCGUGAGGCUGCACACACAUACACGGCAGAGCAAUCUGGGGCACCAGGUACUCAUGCGCACAAACCUUGUACCUGGUUGGGUUCUUCUUUCUGUGUACAACCUUAGGACUCCGACGAAAGCAUUCUGGGCCUGACUCUCCUUUCUCAUCUGGAGAAAUGUGCUUAGAGGAGGAUGGGGACUGAGGAAUUGUCACCAUGAAUGAUCAUCCCAUGUCACCUCGUAUUUCUCAAGAAAACUCAGUGAGGGACAGGGUCAUGGUCAUAUUGUCUGCAAGUAUAUUUCCAGGAGCGUGAAGAUGGGAUAUUUGGCUUAUGGAACAAAGGAUUACACAGUGAGAGAUUUUGCCCAGUUCUCUGCCCAAGAUGCUAGAAGCCCUCACCCCACCUAAAGAAAAAGGCAAUCAAAUAAUCAACUACCUAACAUCACUAUAAUGAAUAUGUGGCAUCUUUAUAGAAAUUAUUAAGUCAAUCUACAAGGAAAAUCAAAGGAAAUCGCCUUUUAAAAUGCAUUAUUUGACGAAAGCAGCCUUGUUUCAGUACACACAAUUUCAGUGUUGCAAAAUAACUCUGACAACCUCUCAGGACUCACUGAAAUGAGAGUCAGCUUUUCUGGGCAGAAGAGCAUGUCAUACUGGCAAGCGCAGUGAAGGUUGAUUGUGGUAUUUCCUCAGGACACUGAAAAUGACUCAGAUGAUUUCCUGCAUUCAUUCUCAUGAGCUAUUCUCUUGUCUAGACUCUGUUCGAGGGAUCAGGGUAUGCGGCACAGGUUGCCUGCAGAAGCCUGGAAGGAGGCCGGGGCUGAGCAGGGCAAGGUGAAGUGUUUUCCCUAAGCAGUCAGAAGCAGCACAAAGAGCUGAGAAGAAAUGGGGAUGGGAAAGGGAUGCCAAACACGGGAAAAGCUGUUGAUGAGGUCGGGGAUGGGAGAGCAAGGGUAAAUCGCAGUGUGGAGAGGUCAGGGGGAAAGCUCUCAGCACCAAGCCCACAGAGGGUGUCAGAGUACCAGCCGCAUGCUACAGAACAGUCCAGAAGCUGUGAAGAGUCACGCCGGAGCAGGUGCUGUUAGAAAUGUCCUGAGCCCAAGGUGGGAGGCUAAGGUCCCAAUGACAGCUCGGAGUGGUGAAGCAUCUGGAUGUCAGCCCAGGCGGCAGGUGCUGAGGACCAGGGCAUUCCUGGAAGCAGGAGGGCAGUCGCCCGCAUCUGUGCCUGUGGCAUCCGUGCUGGGAGGCAAAGCUUUGCUGCUGAGUGAUGUCUCCCAUCUUUGCUGGGUCUCGGGUCUACUGUUGUCUGUGAAGAAGAAAGGUGAUCCCCUCUGCUUCGUCCGAUUACACGAGGGCUCUCAGCACCUCUUCCUCUUUGGUUUGGACACAGAACUGGGCUGCUUACAUGUAAACACCAACCAACUCAUUUCCCUUUAUAUGUGCAAGAAAUAGGAAAUUGUUCUCUGACACAGGACAGAACUAUCAUCGGUUCGUAUGGUUGAAAACUUUCUCUUCAAAAUCCUCAAGAAAAAUAAGGACAGUAGUUUUUGUGGGCAAUGCAAAAUUCUAACAAAUUCCAAGGGAAGAGCAAGGAACCAAUCCUUAGACCUGUUAGAGAAACUGUGUGGUAACUUGAAUCAACUGAGUGUGUUAUCUGUAUGCUUCUAAACUAAACGCUCUAAACAAAAUUCAGGAACAGUUUUGUAUAAGUGCUCUCAAACCUUAAAGCCAAACUUCUUUCCUAUAAAGUGAUUUCUGAAUUCCAAAAGAGUUCCCAUCUUUCUAGGAAGCUGUCAGUUUUCAAAGACCUUUUAAAUUCUAAUCAUUUAAUCCUUGGUUAACUCUACAUUGUUAGGUUUGAUUCCCUAUUUAUGUGCUCUGAUUUUAUCUUUUUAAAAACACAUCCUCAUUAAGUAGUUACGUGUAGCUGAAGGUAGCAUGUAUAGUAAAACAAAAAAUAAAGGAAUAUUUUUUGGAAGAUUUAUUUACUUAUUUGAAAGGCAGAGUGACAGAGAGAGAGGGAGAAUCAGAAAGAGAGACAGAGAUCUUCCAUCCACUGAUUAAAUCCCUGAAGGCCACAACAGCUGGGGCUGGUCCAGGCCAAAGCCAGGAGCCAGGAACACCUUCUGAUUCUCCUACUUGGGUGACAGGAACUCGGGAACUUGAGCCAUCAUCAGCUGCCUCCCAGGUGCAUUAACAGGAAGCUGGACUGGAAACAGAGAAGCCAAGACUCAAACCUGCAUUCUGAUACAGGAUGCACAUAUUCCAACUGGCGGCUUAAGCAUUGCACCACAAUACCCAUGUUUAUUAAAUCUGAUUAAGGGAUAAUUUUAUUAAAAUGUCAUUACAUGCAAAAAAGUAUUACCUACUUAUAAACAUAUGCCAGAUUGCAAAAGACACAAAUUAUUUUCAACAUAACAAAAAUUAGUAUUUUAAUCAGUUGAUAUCUAAUGUCACUGGACAAAAGAGACCAACAUUCUUGCCUUCAUGUAACUCACAUUAUGGUCAACUACAGCUACUUCUUCCCAUGUUCCUAAUAGUUAUGAGCUCCCCAAUCUUGUCAGUCUAGUGUCUUCCAAUUGUAUGAUUUCCCUAAUUUGUUCUUUUCUUUCUGAUCCUCUGACCACUGGAUUAGCUUAGAUGUUCACUAUUGCUUUUAAUAUGUAUUUCCAGCUAACUCACGCAUGCAGUUAAAAGCAAUCAGUGGUGAAAGAUGCCUCACAACCACACCUAUUUGUCCUCCUCCUCUUCCCAGAGAGAACCACUCUCACCAAGCUGCUGUGCAUCUUGAUGGCCAUCCAAUGCAAACACAAGUGUCCAUUUGUAUUUUACACAGAGUGACACCCUAUGCUUUCUAUUCUGUAUCUUUCAAAUUAAUGUAUUUGAGAGUUUUCUGUAUCAGCCUCAUCUAUUUCAAUAGACGCAUGGCUAAUGAAUAGAUAGCAGUUUACAGUUUACUAAGAGUCCACUACUGUGUUCAGCAGGUUAGCUUAGGUUACCUUGGAGAAGCAAAUAACCCAUACAUCUCAGCGGUUUGUUUCUUGCUUACAGAAUGUCUGUUGAGGUUCUGGGCAACUGUCCAGGGCAACUGCCUUCCCUGUGGCUACUCAGUGGUCAUGUGUUAGUGGUUCUGUCAUCCCAUGGCUGUACCAUCUGGAACAAGUGGCCUCCUGAGUGACAGCGGCAGAGGGAGAAUGAGCUGUGGCAUAGAAGUAGACCUACAGUGCUUUAGCUCAACACACACACACACACACACUCACACACAUACACAUACUCACAUACACACACAUGCACACUCACACACAUACACUCACACACACAUGCACACUCACACACAUACACACACUCACACAUGCACACACACACACACUCACAUACACACAUGCACACUCACACACACAUACACACACACACUUACAUGCACUCAAUACACACACAUACACACACACACACUUACAUGCACUCAAUACACACACACACACACACACACACUUCUUCCAAUGCACUCACCAGAAUGGCUCUGUGGCUUCUCCUAACAGCGAGGAAAGUAGGACAGUGAAAAGCUCCUGCGUCCUGAAGGAAAGGAGAUUUUGCCUCGCCGGGUUUAACAGACCUAAGAUGGUGCGUUUUUGCGGGGCACUGUGGAUGUCUCACCACACUUGUGUAGUAUGUGACUGUCAGCCAGGGGACUCCAUUUCCUUUCAGGCAUUUUACGUUGCUUCAUAGCAGCAGCAUCCACGGUUCCGUCUUACAGUUUUGUGAAAGCAGAGCAAUCCACAGUGCAGUGGAGUGCACAGUGCCUCUGGUGACCCUUCCGCGCAGCGCAGCCCCAGGAUUCAUACUCCUGUCCAGCUCUGACCUAGCACCCAUCAACCAAGCUUUCCCGUCCCUCAUCUCUCUGCUUGACCUCUCCAGCCUCUGCUAACCACCAUCAUGUUUUUAAUGUCCAUGACACCACCAUUUGUGAAUGAGAUGUAUGAAUAUCUGUCUGUCUGUGCUUGGGCCCAUUUCACUUUAUGUAAUGACUUCUAACUCGUUCUGUUGUUGCAAAUGAAGAUUUCACCCUUUUGUAUGGCUGAGCAGUACUCCGGUACAUACCACAGUUGCUUUAUCCAUUCAUCAGUGGAUGUGCCCUUAGGGUGUUUCCAUUUUUUGGCUACUGUGACGUGCGCUUUAAUAAACAUGGGAGUGCAGAUGUCUCUUGGACACAUGAAUUGCAUUUCCCUUGCACAUAUAGCCAGCAGUAGGAUUGCUGGAUCGUACGUUAGUGCUUUGUUCAUUUUCUGAGAGGCCUCCUUUCUGUUUUCCACCUUCCCACCAACAGUGUGCAAGGGUUCCCUUUUCAACACAGCCUCACCAGCACUUGCUAUCUUUUGCCUUUAUGAAAAGAGCCAGUCUUAGUGGAGUCAAGUGAUCUCACUGUGGUCUUGAUUUGCAUUUUCCAGAUGAUUGGUAUUGAGCAUUUUUAAUGCACAUGUUGGCCACUUGUAAAUCUUCCUUUAAGAAAUUUCUGUUAAGAGUUGCCCAUUUUUUACUUGGAUUAUCUGUUUUUUUUUUAUUGUAGUGAUUUUUUUUUCUUUGCUGUUGAGUGGCUUGACAUCUUUAUAUAUUAUUAUUGAUAUUAACCCCUGUCAGAUACAUGACUUACAAGUAUUUUCUCCCAUUAUGUAGGUGUUCUCUUUAUUCCAUUGAUUGUUUCCUUUUCUGUGCAGAAUCUCUUUAGUUUGAUGAAAUAUGUCUGUUUGUGCUUUUUCUUCCUGCUCCUUUGGGGCCUGAUCCACAAAAUUCUUGUCCAUUCCAAUAUGCUGAACUAUUUUCCCCCUGUUUUCUUCUAGUGGUCUCAGAGUUGCAGGUGUCACAUUUAGCUUUUUAAUCCACUUUGAUCUGACUUUUCUAAAGGGUGAAUGAUCAGGGCCUAGAUUCAAUCUUCUGUGUGUGAACAUUCUUUCCCAGCACCAUUUAUUAAAAAUACUAUCCUUUUCCUAAGGCAUGUUCUUAGCAUCUUUGUCAAAGACUACACCCGAAAGCCGUGUUAGUCUGAAGCUCUUUGAGGCAGCACCUCACAUACACUUCGGGUAUUCAAUAAGCACAUGUAGCUAGCACUUACAUUAACAGAAUCACAGCAUUGAUAACACACUCCACUGGUGAACAGCUUUUUGCAAGUGCAGAAUAGCUCACUCAAAAGGCACCGCCCCAAGUCAGGUCUGAAUCAUCACACUAUUUUCUGGUAAAGCAAAUAUGGAAGAAUGAAUGGCAAAUAUCUGAGGAAUCCUUUUCAUACUGUUUUGGUUCAUCAUCAAGUAAGUUAGAGAGACUGUCAGAUUGCCAACAAGAAAGAAGAAUAGUAGCAGUGUAGUUCACAGCAGCCAAAAGGUGGAAGAACCUAAGUGGCCAUCAAGAGAUGAUACACGAAAUACAUCAUAUGUAUACACACACACACACACACACAAUGGAAUAUUGUUCAUUCUUAAAAUGGAGGGAGGGGCUCCCGUUGUGGCACAGCAGGUUAAGCCACUGUUUGUGACACUGGCAUCCCAUAUGGGAGUGCCAGUUCAAGUCCCUUCUGCUCCACUGCUGAUUCACCUCACUGCUAAUGCAUCUGGGAAGGGAGUGGAAGACGGCCCAAGUAGUUGGAGUCCCUGUCUGCCAUGUGGGAUACCAGGAUGGCCUUCCUGACUCCUGGCUUUGGCCCCACCCCGUCCCAGCUGUUGAGGCCAUUUGAGGAGUGAAUCACCAGAUGCAACAUCUCUCUCUGUUUCUGUUGUUCUGACUUUCAAAUAAAUAAAUAUUUGUUUAAAUGGAGGGAAGUCUGACCCAUGCUACAUCAUGGAUAAACCUUGAGGACAUUCUGCAAAGUGGAGUAAACCUGUCCCCAAAUGGACGAAUAUUGCAUGAAUCCACUUCUGUAGGGAACCUAGAAUGGUUACAUCCACAGAGACAGAAAGCAGAACAGUGUAUAACGGGUGUGGAGUUUCAGUUUUGCAAGAUGAAGAAGAUGAAGAGUUCUAGAAACGGAUGAUUGCACAACAGUGUGAAUGUACCUAAUACCACUGAAUGAAUGAAAUACUUAAAAAAUGGCUAUAAUGAUAAAUUUUAUCUGAGGUAAGUUUUACCACAAUAAAAAAAAGAAAGGUUAGUGAGUAAAACUCUUUACAAAAUGAUAACAAAAAUCUCUGAGAAUACUUUGCAUAACUCUGAUUCAUUAAAGAACUUUGUGGCAACUGACUUGACACUAAUGAACCAAGAGGCCAGAAUGGGGGGGCCGCACAGCUCUAUAAAUGUUCAAAUCUCCCAUGAGGAUGCAGAGUAGUUUGGGAGGAAGUGGAAAACUGAACAAGGAACCAAAUUCUAUAAAUGAGUCAAAUGGGAAAUUUCCCCCUCUUUGAGUUAGCACUCCUAGCCUAUAUUUAGCGUCUAGGUAUCCAGCAUGCACAAGCCCAGCUCGCAGCAGAUGGCUUACAGAAAUGAGAAUGACAGUUAGCUAAGAAGAGGAAUGCAGCUAUCCCAUGGGCUGUUCAACCGUUGAAGUUUGCAAGAGCAGCACAUUCCUUCCCCGUAGGAAAUCUGCGUGGGAAAGCACAUUACAAUCAGAAGCUAUUUAGCAAACACGGAAUGAGAGAAAGGGUGGCGAUGGUAAAGAGAAGAGGAAGAAUUGUAAAGUUUAAAUGCCUGGUGACAUCAUCCUAUAGUAAUGUGAUUUAUCAGCCUCCACAGUGGGGUCCCCUGCCACAGGGCCCACAUAAAACAGUCUCAGGGUGCAAGCAUCUACCCUACACUGGAGAGGCAUGGGGAUGACCAGGUUCUCUGUUUGACCUCUUUUUCUAGGCAUUCAGGCUGACUAACCAACUUUUAUUGACCCAUUUUCUCUUUAUAACAAUAAUGGAAUCAUUUAAUGUUGUCACCAGCUGUAUUGGGAUUAAGGAGACAUUUUGCUUCUAUCCGUUAAGUUGGCAUUUCUAGGGACUGCAUGUUUGUGUCCAUCCCCGAUGCCUGUUUUGAAGUGUGAUAGCUUUUGGAAGUGGGACCUUUGGGAGGUAAUUAGAUUUCGAUGAGGUCACAAGGGUGGAGCCCUCAUGUUAGAAUUCAUGCCCUUAUAAAAAGUGGAAGAAACAUGGCUGCCCUCUGCUUACACCCACCCAAGAAGGCCAUUGAAGGGCAGAACCAGGAAGCGACCCUUCACCAAGGAGUCAACCAUGCUGGCACUCUGAUCUCACGCUGCCAGCCUCAGAGCCAUGAGAAAGAAGUGUUUAACCUACCCAGUCUGUGGUGCUUGUUACAGCAAUCCAAAGAAAAACAGCAUUUUAAAAAUACACUUCUUUGAAAGCUUUUAUUUAAUUCUUUGAGAGGUGAGAGAGACAUAGACAUACUUACACAUGUAGACAGAGAGAGAGAGAGAGAGCGCACUCCCAUCCAGUGGUUCACUUACCAAAUGCUUGCCAAGCUGAGGCUGGGCCAGGCCCAAAGUCAGGAGGUGCAGAACACAGUCCAGGUCUCCCAAAUGGGUGGCAGGAACUUGAGCUGUCACCAUUUCUUCCCAGGGUCUGGAAGAUAAAAUCGGGGGCCAAAGCUGGAAAUCAAACCCAGGAGUUCCCAUGUAGGAUGUGAAUACCUUAACCUCCCAUCCAAGUACUACCCAGGCCCGACCCUGCUUAGCUUCUGAGAUCAGAUGAAUCAGGGUGGUAGGGCCAUAGGUGAGUGCCUUAAUCUCUAGGCUAAAAGUCCAAUCCCUGCUGCCUCUGUUGUAUAGGAUUGUAUGUUUGGCUUAAUUUAUAGCAACAAUUAUUUUACUUUUAUUAGUAUUAGUUUGUCAUAUUUAACUUCUCAACCUUUCCUAUGUUCACCUGGCUCUCUUGACAUAUUUUUAUUAUUUAAUAGGUUUUUUCAUUAGUUCGUUCAUUUUGGUACAUCCUUUAGUGUAUUGUGCACUGAGGUCCCGAGAGUCUUAAACUAACCUGGGCCUGGGGGCCGGCACUGUGGCACAGUGGGUUAAAGACACAGCCUGCAGUGCCGGCAUCCCAUAUGGGCACCGAUUCAAGUCCUGGCUGCUCUUCUUCUGAUCCAGUGCUCUGCUAUGGCCUGGGAAAGCAGUGGAAGAUGGCCCAAGUCCUUGGGCCCCUGCACCCAUGUGGGAGACCAAGAAGAAGCUCCUGGCUCCUGGCUUCAGAUCAUCUCAGCUCUGGCUGUUGCCA